rnacentral:rRNA from 1 species
GUGCUUGCAUCUGGGUGGAUGAGUGGCGAACGGGUGAGUAAUACGUGAGUAACCUGCCCUUGACUCUGGGAUAAGCCUGGGAAACUGGGUCUAAUACUGGAUACUACAUUCUCUCGCAUGGGGGUGUGUGGAAAGGGUUUUACUGGUUUUGGAUGGGCUCACGGCCUAUCAGCUUGUUGGUGGGGUAAUGGCCUACCAAGGCGACGACGGGUAGCCGGCCUGAGAGGGUGACCGGCCACACUGGGACUGAGACACGGCCCAGACUCCUACGGGAGGCAGCAGUGGGGAAUAUUGCACAAUGGGCGAAAGCCUGAUGCAGCGACGCCGCGUGAGGGAUGACGGCCUUCGGGUUGUAAACCUCUUUCAGCACGGAAGAAGCGAAAGUGACGGUACGUGCAGAAGAAGCGCCGGCUAACUACGUGCCAGCAGCCGCGGUAAUACGUAGGGCGCAAGCGUUGUCCGGAAUUAUUGGGCGUAAAGAGCUCGUAGGCGGUUUGUCGCGUCUGCUGUGAAAGCCCGGGGCUUAACCCCGUGGUGUGCAGUGGGUACGGGCAGACUAGAGUGCAGUAGGGGAGACUGGAAUUCCUGGUGUAGCGGUGAAAUGCGCAGAUAUCAGGAGGAACACCGAUGGCGAAGGCAGGUCUCUGGGCUGUUACUGACGCUGAGGAGCGAAAGCAUGGGGAGCGAACAGGAUUAGAUACCCUGGUAGUCCAUGCCGUAAACGUUGGGCACUAGGUGUGGGGGACAUU